rnacentral:tRNA from 1 species
GCCGCCAUAGUGUUCAAGUAGCAUUCUAGAAUUGGUAAUCUCAGAGUUGUGGGUUCAAAUCCCACUGGCGGCA